GGAGAGAACGCGCUGGCUGUACUAAUAGUUACCGAUAUCCGGACCGAGGGCGACACUAGCGAGUAACGUCCUGUCCGUUAGUGAUCCGCACAGUGGUCGCUGCAGAUUGAUUCCGCCCGUCGCACCAUAACCUAACACGGGCAGGUGUCCUCGUCCCGGGGGAUCUGAUCCGUAAAGGCGCUUACUUAUGUAGUAAUCAGGAUCAGCGGAUUCUGGGGAUUUCUGGCCGGUAUGUUGGAUUGCCCCGUCGUAACCGCCCCGUUAAUGUAACCGCCGACCCGCGUAGUAAUGUCCGGUAGGUCGCAUACAAGGGAAAAUAUCGUGGUUCAUCGUCGUAUCUAUCAUACUCGCCGUGGGAAUCUGUGAAAAGCACCCAGUAAACAAGGAACUGCAUCCACCGGACCUUUGUAAGCAAUUAAAGUUUAUUACACGUUUAACACGGUCCGUGCGCAUUUAUUUAGCAAAUCAGUGUUAAUAUUUGAAGAAAAGAGUGGCAGUAUGUAGUGAAGCAGUUGAAGAACUAAACAGAAAUUCAGCCAUAGCAUUACGGGGAAUAUGGACCAUGGGAAAAAGAAAGGCACAAGAAAGUGAACAAAACCCGGUUGAGAAACAAACAAAUAACAUCUGUCCAAAGCCGAAAAAAUGUACUCUGUUCGUAUCUUCAAAACGUGAGCCGGUCGGCGUCUGUGUUUUUCAAAGUUUUAUAGAGUGGAAUAAUAUAGGCAUGUGAUAAAGUGAAAAUUAUGUCUAAGGACGGCGUACAUAAAUUAAUCAAGAUAUUAAACCGCGCCUGAUAAAUCAAGACACUACCUUUUUUUUGAACCGGUAUCUCCAUAAGUGAUACACUAUACGGCUUUUUUUUAAAUUCUAAAAUCAUUAUUACCAAAACCACUGGAAAUUCGUGGGCAGGCUGCAAGAAAGAUGGUCAGCUUUUUUGGGCGGCUGAUAAGUGGAAGGUCUUGGGAAACAGAUGUGCGGCUUUCUUGAAACAGUGUAUUAGUCUCACCAUAAUUAAAGGCAAUGCACGCUUGAUAAUACUAACGAUUUUGGUUAUUAUUCCACGCUUAAGGAAAACGGCCCGGUACAUGGUGUCAGAAAUGGGAUACAUACACUAAAACUUUCGCUUUCGCGCACUUCGAAUCACUUUUUUUGUGAUACUUUACGUCAUUCUACAGCUAAAUGAUUUUUAUCAUUGUUCCGAAAACCAUUUGCCCGCGCAACAUCCGGUUGUCGAGAUAUGGCGAAUCAAAUUGGGCGAAAAGUUUAAUGCAUUGUUGUGUACCAAAAGUCUGGUUAUUACCCGAUCUUCUUUUUUUUCUUUUACCAGCCAGAUCAGUGCAUUGCUUAUCAGUUGUAAAAAUGAUUAUUGCGUAACCGACAAUAGUCCCGUUUUCGGAGGCAUCACCUUCGCUUUGCUUUCGUCAAAUAUUGACAAUAAAAAAUGAAAUCGUUUUAAUCAAUUCCAAUACAAAAAUAAAAAGAAGAACAAGAAAAGCUAAAACUUCGGCGCUUUGUUGAUACCCAUUACCGAAUCGAAGUCGGUAGCGCCAUACGUAUGUGUGGGUAUGCUUUAAUUUCAAAUUGAAGGUUACUGACGCUAGGAUAGUAGGAAGUGUCGUACAUGCUGACUUUUGUACGAGUUUACGAUUACUUCUGUUGUCGCUAAUUGGUGGAUAAUUCAUGACUCACUAGCGCUAGAAUGAUCCCAUGUUAAAAGCGGUUUUAUCUCUCGUGAACUUGGGUGUGCAAUUAAUUAGUCUUGACUGGAAAAUCUUAAAAAUUGCAGUUAAAUAAUAACAUCCUGAAUCAGAGAUACUGUAUUUGGUGUCUUCUCGUAGCGGAAGCAUUAGCGUGUACCCACAGGAAGUCACAUCCCUUUUAAUAACUCUGGAUAAUUACAUCUUCCAGAAAUCACUCGUGCACGUAGGAAUAGGUAGCAGUUUGGUAAGUAGAACUUUGACAGAAGAAAACAUUUAUCUUUCUUAUUUUCCCACUUUGUCGAUUGAGUAAAGUUUGGUCAUCUAGUGCGGUAGUCGUAGUACGACUUCCGCAUAGCAUGUCAUUACUGUGCAACGUACGAGUACAUGCGCCCACGAUGAGUUCUUGUCAGCUGCCAAUGCAAUUUUGUUACCUAUUCCUACGUGCAGGGCCCAUCCGAUGUUUGGAAAACACUUACAGUUUCCAAGCUUCGAUUUCUGGAAAACUAUUACUUAAGCAAAUUCCAUGAAUGCCUCCAAAAGUCAGCAUUAUUUUCGCCAAGGUUUGGAGAGCUCAGAUCGGCAGAAAACGCAAGCGUUGUCUCGCAGCCAUUCCUAUAAAGUCGUUUCUUUGCGUUGGGUAAAAUACAUCUUCAAAACAAUCACUUCUUGAUCGACAUCAUUUGAUUUUUUUGGAACGUUUUCUCUAUUCCACAUCUGGCAUUAUGAACAACUUCGUAACAUUGCCUCUGCUGGCCGCCUUCCUGGCGCUUUCGGGAAUAUAACGAAUCGCACCCGGUGAUAUCCCCAUGUUUUGCCAGAACGCACUGGGAAAGGGCUGCAUCAUGACCUCCUCAGGCGAAUUUGUGGAAGUCCCGGUCGACUAUAUACUCGUAGAAAAAACUAAAAGCGAAGCAAUAUAAAACCUGACCAUCCUAAACGGCAUAGACAAUUAGUACCAGAUCCCAAAACGCCUAAACUGCUGACUCAAAACUUUAUUCGCCGAUAACAUGAUUUCCAAAUUACCAGUACCUGUAUUUAAAAUGACUUGCCGAUUUAAGAAAAUGAAAAUCAUUUUGUCUUCAGAAUUACUGAAUUUGUAUAUCUGAAAUGCUACGUUGAAUCAAUUGGUAAAGUGCCUAUGUGACUAUGGUCUGUACAUACAUUGUACAAAUAUACCUGUACUUGCGCUUGUAAACAAAAGUUUUUCUUCUGUG